rnacentral:ncRNA from 1 species
AUAGAUAGAGGCGCGUGUUUCAUCAGUCCCCAAUCGGACCUUGCAGAGAAGGGAAGAGGGUUGGCAAAAGGGGAACAUGCCGAAGAGGUUCGGUUUCUGCUCCCGAGGCUCUGGGCUUAUUGUUAAGAGCAAUAAGACUGUCACUUAUUGUAUAAGUGGAGCGCUAUCC